AUUUCCUACGGGAGGCAGCAGUGGGGAAUAUUGGGCAAUGGGCGCAAGCCUGACCCAGCAACGCCGCGUGAAGGAAGAAGGCUUUCGGGUUGUAAAAUUCUGUUAUAAGGGAAGAAAGGUGAUAGGAGGAAAUGACUAUCAAUUGACGGUACCUUAUGAGAAAGCCACGGCUAACUACGUGCCAGCAGCCGCGGUAAUACGUAGGUGGCAAGCGUUAUCCGGAAUUAUUGGGCGUAAAGAGCGCGCAGGUGGUUAAUUAAGUCUGAUGUGAAAGCCCACGGCUUAACCGUGGAGGGUCAUUGGAA
rnacentral:rRNA from 1 species